rnacentral:rRNA from 1 species
UGGGGAAUAUUGCACAAUGGACGGAAGUCUGAUGCAGCAACGCCGCGUGCGGGAUGACGGCCUUCGGGUUGUAAACCGCUUUUUCUCAUGACGAAGUUUUUUGACGGUAGUGGGGGAAGAAGCACCGGCUAACUACGUGCCAGCAGCCGCGGUGAUACGUAGGGUGCGAGCGUUGUCCGGAAUUAUUGGGCGUAAAGAGCUUGUAGGCGGUUUGUCGCGUCGAUAGUGCAAACUCAGUGCUUAACGCUGAGCCUGCUGUUGAUACGGGCAGACUAGAGGAAGGUAUGUGGGAAUGGAAUUCCCGGUGGAGCGGUGGAAUGCGCAGAUCUCGGGAGGAACACCGGUGGCGAAUGCGGUUCUCUGGGCCUUUCCUGACGCUGAGAAGCGAAAGCGUGGGGAGCGAACAGG